AUUGAACGCUGGCGGUAUGCUUAACACAUGCAAGUCGAACGAGUGGCGGUCGGGUGAGUAAUGCAUAGGAAUCUCGCUUGUGGAGAGGGAUAACUCCGGGAAACUUUAGCUAAUCCCGCGUACCAUAGGAUGAGCCCACGUGGGAGUAGGUAGUUGGUGAGGUAACGGCUCACCAAGCCGACGAUCUCUAGCUGGUCUGAGGGGAUGACCAGCCACACUGGGACUGAGACACGGCCCAGACUCCUACGGGAGGCAGCAGUGGGGAAUAUUGCGCAAUGGGGGAAACCCUGAUGCAGCCAUGCGGCGUGUAUGAAGAAGGCCUUAGGGUUGGAAAGUACUUUAAGCGGGGAGGCGUUACCAGCAGAAGAAGCACCGGCUAACUCCGUGCCAGCAGCCGCGGUAAUUC
rnacentral:rRNA from 1 species